UACGGAGGGGGCUAGCGUUGCUCGGAAUCACUGGGCGUAAAGGGUGCGUAGGCGGGUCUUUAAGUCAGGGGUGAAAUCCUGGAGCUCAACUCCAGAACUGCCUUUGAUACUGGGGAUCUUGAGUCCGGAAGAGGUGAGUGGAACUCCGAGUGUAGAGGUGAAAUUCGUAGAUAUUCGGAAGAACACCAGUGGCGAAGGCGGCUCACUGGUCCGGUACUGACGCUGAGGUGCGAAAGCGUGGGGAGCAAACAGG
rnacentral:rRNA from 1 species